rnacentral:rRNA from 1 species
UGGGGAAUAUUGCACAAUGGGGGAAACCCUGAUGCAGCGACGCCGCGUGAACGAAGAAGGUAUUCGUAUCGUAAAGUUCUGUCCUAUGGGAAGAUAAUGACAGUACCAUAGAAGAAAGCUCCGGCUAACUACGUGCCAGCAGCCGCGGUAAUACGUAUGGAGCGAGCGGUGUCCUGAAUUAUUGGGCGUAAAGGGUACGCAGGCGGUUUAAUAAGUCGAAUGUUAAAGAUCGGGGCUCAACCCCGUAAAGCAUUGGAAACUGAUAAACUUGAGUAGUGGAGAGGAAAGUGGAAUUCCUAGUGUAGUGGUGAAAUACGUAGAUAUUAGGAGGCAUACCAGUAGCGAAGGCGACUUUCUGGACACAAACUGACGCUGAGGUACGAAAGCGUGGGGAGCAAACAGG